GGAGGUGUAGCUCAGAGGUAGAGCACCUGCCUAACAUGCACAAGGUCCUGGGUUUGAAAGCUAGUACCACUC
rnacentral:tRNA from 1 species